UCUGACUUGGUCCGUGUCCAGGGCUCAUCCCUGACAGCACACGGCAGCACUGCCUUUCUAUUGCCAGGUCACUCCUGGCACCGCUCGCCGGCCGGUGGGCACGAGUCUUCCCGUGGGGGAUCAUGCUAUGAACAUUCACAUACAGAGUUUUGUGUGGACGUCUUUCCAGCUCUGGGCAGAUGCCGAGGAGUGAAGUGACUGGUUCCCAUGGUAACCUUUUAAUCCUUUGCCAGACUGCUAAAACAGGCCGCCCCAUCUUACAAUCCUACCAGCAGAGGAGAGAACUCGUUUUCCACAACUGCAGCGUGGACCCGUCUCAUGACAGCCUCCGCGGUGGGGGUGAGGGGUUCAGAUCUGCAUUUGCCUGGUGACGAAUGCUGCGCAUCUUGCCAUGCGCUCACCGGCCAGUGUGUGCCGUGGGAGCAGCGUCUGUUCACAGCCUCCGCCCAUGUCACUCAGGCUGUCUCAGUGUUCAACUUCCUCUGUCUCAGUGUUCACGUGUCACCUCCCGCCCUGCCAGCGCCCCCGUUCACCAGCAAGUAUGCGGUAGGAAGGCUUCCAGAGAAGCCACGGGCCAGGAAGUGAUGAAGAAAGGGUCCCAGGUCAAGAUCAACCCAAGGCCCACACUCCAAGGACGGGCCCCACGACCUGCCAUCAGCCUGGGAAAGCUGUCCCUUCUCCACGCUUCCAGCACAAGGCCUGGGGGCGGGGGGGUGUCCCAGCGGCCUGGUGUCCGUUAGCGCCAUCCUUGAACCCGUCGCCGGGGUCAGGCUCACUGGGCCUGGAUCCCAUGCCCAGCCGUUCUCACCUCAGUGAGGUGGCCUGGGCAGUGCCCGCGUUUCCGUUUCCGUUUCCAGGUAGAGCAAGGAUGUCAAACUCAAAGGCUAACACGGGCCAAAUAAACGCGUUUGACAUGCUGAGAUGGAGGGCUUUGUGUUGGAAGGGGUCACGUCUUAGGUGUUUGAGAGACAUCCAUUGUCAGUGUGGGAGGAGCGGGGAGAGGGUGCUGCCUUUCGUCCUGGCCCUGGGGCCUCUGCCCUUUCCCACUGCGCGCUCUCUCUCUAUAUAUAUAUGUUAGAAGCCCAGCACGUGAAAUCGCGUGGCCCCGCCCACCCAUGCCGGUCUUCGGUCGUUACAAAGAUUUCAGAGAGGAAGGGCGAGUGAGAGACAGAAACAUCAAUGAUGAGAGAGAACCACUGAUCGGCUGCCCCCUGCACCCCCACACUGGGGAUCGAGCCCGGAACCCGGGCAUGUGCCCUGACUGGGAAUUGAACUGUGACCUCCUGGUUCAUGGGUCCACCCUCAACCACUGAGCCUCACCGGCUGGGCCCUCUCUGACCAGCGGGAAUGUUGGGAGCCGCCCUCGAGCCCCCUUCCUGACAUGUGGGCAGCAGCGGGCCGGAGCCACCUCUGGGGUAAGUCAGCUGUUGAGUACCUCCGUUUCCUUCCCUGCAGCUGGGGAUGGAGUGGCACAGAGCUCUCACAGCCGGUCACGGCCAGAAUAACCACCAGGCUGCGUGCAAAGCGAGAACGUACCAGGAGGAACGGCCUGACCGCGAAAACCUGCCCAGCCAGUAACGCAGCCAGGAACGCCGACGCAAGGACAGGGUGGCCGUGCACAAGAUCAACACAAGGAUGUCCGCGGAGAGACGGACUGUGAUUGUGAGUGGACGUUACCUGAACACCCCAUCACAUCUCAUCGCAUCCAUUCGAUGCCCGGUAUGUAGUCGUUACAAAACAAUGUUGUAAACUGUUUUAUGGCAUGUUAAUUACGUAACAGAAAAUGCAUCUGAUGUGCUGAUCAGUGUUAAGACACGUGCCUCCCUCGCUGUGCCGAGAGCAGGCACACCGAGUCGAAAAUGAUGACGUCCUCUGCGUUCAAGGUUUGCGGUUGCUUAAAUGUUUUCAUUACGAAAAUAUACACAAAAGUCAAAUAGAAUGAGGCUCUGUGCACCCAUUGCCGCAGUAUUUGGGGAAACGCUCACUGUGCUGGGAAUACGCUGCCGAGCGAGGAUGUCCGCUGAGUGUGAAAUCUACACAAGGACGUGAAGCCGGGACCGUUUUUGACACAAAGUGUUUUAUUUUGAAAUUCCCAGCAGAGCUCUCGUCCUCAGUGCCUUGCUCAGGAGACGCCUGUGAGAAUUCAGACUGGAACGGGGGCAGACAGGCCUGUCGCCCCUCCCGCAAAUCCAUACCUGGGGACGCGCAGCCUGGCCCCCAGACCCCCGACCUGCGGGUCUAAAUGGACAGAAAACCUCACGGGUGUGGAUUUACAGUGUGGCCCCAAAUGGCCAAUGUCUCUCUCUGGUGGCGCCCAAACCAGACACCAGGAUGGAAGCUAGGAGACGAGAUCGCGCGUGACCGUGACCGGCGCUCCCACCCCGUGCCCCUUGCUAGGCCUGCAUUCACUGUUUACAGGCAAACCAAGUGUAUGUGGCGGCAUCGUUAAAAACCAUGUAAACAUUGCAAAGACGUCAGGGGUUACUUAGAAUCCGAAGAGAUAUAUAUAUAAAAAAACUACUGGGCUUGUGAAGACUACAAAUACCAGCCCUCCCUCCGCCCCUGAAAAAAGCAGUU